AGAAGUGCUGGGAAACCGUCAGCAAGAGACCUGGGAAGAGAGCAUUCAGUUGGCAUUCAGAGCCAAGCGGGAAAUGGUGGGGGCCAGCGGCACACGUGGGCAAGCAAGAAAUGGUGGGAAAUGGGGCGGGCUAGCAGCUUGCCUUCCAGACAGUGCGGGAAAGCAGGAAACGGCAGGAAAUGGCACAGGCACAACUUCGUGAGAUUUUUUUCUUUGGCAAGAAGUUGGAAUUGAUAGAUUGAACUUUUUUUUUAGCCCCACAAACUUUCGUUUCCCUGCACACGACGGCGAGAAACACAAUGGAGCUGGAAAUAAGUUUUUGGAAUGUGGCGUCUGGCAAAUAUAAUACACAAACCCAAAGAUUAGAAAGAAUUUUAACAUGAUGCUUUUUCUCCAAAUCUGGAAAUCAACAAAAGGUCUUCAUCAAUUCUACAUGGCUACAAAUUUGCAUGCUCAGAAAAUGCAUAAGUAGAUGUAUUAUAUUUAGGGCAGUGAUUCAAACGAGCAUGAAUCUACAGUUACUUAGUAUUACAUGAAGACUGACUUCUGAAUAUAUUAUAUCUUUGAAAAUACCCCAAAGCUUGAAUGGAGUAAAAAAAAAAAAUCACA